GGUCCCUUAACGUCACACAGCUUUCUAAUUGUUGUUCUUCCCUUUAGAUUUAGAUUUCAACCAGGAGAGCAAUAAUGAGCUUUGCAUGGACAAUGGCUAAAUCUGAAUGAGGCUUCUGGUGCCCUAAUUCAGGGCCAAGGAAAGCUAACAGUCAUGAUUCAAUAAAGGUGCCAGUCCACGGCAGGCAUCAGACAGAAAGGAGACACCUUAUCUGUUGAAUCUACAGAUACUACUUGAAAAAUCACACAUAAUUAAUCCCUUCUCUUAGCGGAGGCUAUUUGAAGCUUUAUCACCAGCUUGUAUGUACGAUUUCAUCUCUGGCUUUCACUGAUGGUUCCGAGAGGGGAGCAUUUUCAAACCAGAGGCAGUUCAUAAUUUAGACAUGCCUACCACCCCUGUUCUAGUUAGCUAAUAAAAGAAGCUUUGCACUAAAUAACUGAGGGGACACAGAAUAGAGAUACAUAGCAAAUAUUUGCCAAGUGGCCCUGAAGUGGCUUCCCAGAUGGCACGUUCUGGGGAAUAAAGAAGAUACGACAGCCCCAUGGGUAUCAAUAUGACAUCUGAUGGUCCUCCUGCGACCCUCUGUGUACAGGGGUGGGCAGUCAAUGGGAAUUCGUUUUACCAUGGCAGUGCUCUCAUAUAGGCUAGAAAAAAUAUAUACGCAGAAAGAGGGAGAGAGACAUAUCUCACGUAACCCAACCUGUGGCUCCCGUAAGGCUCUCCACUAAAGGAAGUUGUGAUGAUUGAAAUUCAUCACACCCUGUGAAUUCUCCUGGGUCAGGAAACACUGGCAUUGGCAGAAUCUGAACUUAAUAGUAUUUGCAAAGUUACUCUUAUGUCAGAACAUGUUUGCCCAACCAUGAUCGUCUCCUCCCUCUUUAUCUAUAAACACAUAUACACUGUAGAUAUUUAUAGACUACUAGGUAUAUGAAAUCAUUUAUGCAAGUUGUAAUUGACUGUGUAAUUAUUGAAUAAACAGCGGAUGAAAGGAAAUGUGAGGUUCUGAAGCUUUAAUUCGCGUUUUAUCUUUUAUUCUUUCAACUGCUUAUUUACUUGUCUACAUUCUCCUCUCUGCUGAUUAUUUUCUGGGCAUGCAUUUUCCCUUGGGCAACAUCAGAUGAGAACAUCAUUUCAUUUGCAUCGCAGGGGAGACGGAGAGACAAACAGAAAGCAGAGAGACAAACAGAAAAUCAGAGGCAGCAUCCUGCUUGGACACCUCCAAGAAUUCAACUGCCUUCAACAAAUUCUAUCAAAUCCCUACUGUGUGCCAGGUGCUAGGAUACGAGGAGGACUUGUCAUCAAUGCUGGAUUGCCCAGUGUGCAGACGAGACCCUCACUUACAAGUCCAGAAAGCAUGGCUGAGAGAGAGCAGAAUGUUCUGGGCACAAAGAACAGCAGGGAGGUUGUCCUGAGGCAACACCCAGUUUGGUGCGUCUGAGGGACUGAAAGGUGCCCACUGCUUCAGUGAAGCUGAAAGGAUAAGAAAAGUGAGGGACCAAGAGGAUAACGACUUAUCCAAGCUCCAUGACUUGGGACUUAAUAAGAGGACAAACCAAUCUUUACAAACCACGGCAGGACCGGGAUGGAAACAAACAAAAACAACAACAAAACACACACACACACCAAAUGGGGAAGUCUGGUUAAGAACAACAGAGAGGACCUGUUUUAGACAGGAGACCAGAGAAGGCUUCUCUAGUUAGGUGAAGUUGUCUGAGAGAUGAAAAUGAUCACACAC